UACGGAGGGUGCGAGCGUUGUCCGGAAUCACUGGGCGUAAAGGGCGCGUAGGCGGCCGAGCAAGGUCGCGGUGAAAGCCCGGGGCUCAACCCCGGGUCGGCCGUGGCAACUACUUGGCUGGAGCACUGUAGGGGCGGGUGGAAUUCCGGGUGUAGCGGUGGAAUGCGUAGAGAUCCGGAAGAACACCGGUGGCGAAGGCGGCUUCCUGGACCGACACUGACGCUGAGGCGCGAAAGCUAGGGGAGCAAACGGG
rnacentral:rRNA from 1 species